GAUGAAGAACGCAGCGAAAUGCGAUAAGUAAUGUGAAUUGCAGAAUUCAGUGAAUCAUCGAAUCUUUGAACGCACAUUGCGCCCUCUGGUAUUCCGGGGGGCACGCCUGUUCGAGCGUCAUUAUAACCACUCAAGCUCUCGCUUGGUAUUGGGGCUCGCGGUUCCGCGGCCCCUAAAAUCAGUGGCGGUGCCUGUCGGCUCUACGCGUAGUAAUACUCCUCGCGAUUGAGUCCGGUAGGUCUACUUGCCAGCAACCCCCAAUUUUUACAGGUUGACCUCGGAUCAGGUAGGGAUACCCGCUGAACUUAAGCAUAUCAAUAAGCGGAGGA
rnacentral:misc_RNA from 1 species